rnacentral:rRNA from 1 species
AACGCGAAGAACCUUACCAGCUCUUGACAUGUCCCGUAUGAGUACCAGAGAUGGAACUCUUCAGUUCGGCUGGCGGGAACACAGGUGCUGCAUGGCUGUCGUCAGCUCGUGUCGUGAGAUGUUGGGUUAAGUCCCGCAACGAGCGCAACCCUUGUCCUGUGUUGCCAUACCGAAAGGUGGAACUCGCAGGAGACCGCCAGGGAUAACCUGGAGGAAGGUGGGGAUGACGUCAAGUCCUCAUGGCCUUUAUGUCCAGGGCUACACACGUGCUACAAUGGACGGUACAAAGGGCUGCCAACCCGCGAGGGGGAGCCAAUCCCAAAAAACCGUUCUCAGUUCGGAUUGCAGGCUGCAACUCGCCUGCAUGAAGCUGGAAUCGCUAGUAAUGGCGGAUCAGAACGCCGCCGUGAAUACGUUCCCGGGCCUUGUACACACCGCUAGUC